GACGAACGCUGGCGGCGUGCUUAACACAUGCUAGUCGAACGGAAAGGCCCGGCUUGUGUGGGGUGCUCGAGUGGCGAACGGGUGAGUAACACGUGAGUAACCUGCCCUUGACUUUGGGAUAACUUCAGGAAACUGGGGCUAAUACCGGAUAGGAGCUCCUGCUGCAUGGUGGGGGUUGGAAAGUUUCGGCGGUUGGGGAUGGACUCGCGGCUUAUCAGCUUGUUGGUGGGGUAGUGGCUUACCAAGGCUUUGACGGGUAGCCGGCCUGCGAGGGUGACCGGCCACAUUGGGACUGAGAUACGGCCCAGACUCCUACGGGAGGCAGCAGUGGGGAAUAUUGCACAAUGGGCGGAAGCCUGAUGCAGCAACGCCGCGUGCGGGAUGACGGCCUUCGGGUUGUAAACCGCUUUCGCCUGUGACGAAGCGUGAGUGACGGUAAUGGGUAAAGAAGCACCGGCUAACUACGUG
rnacentral:rRNA from 1 species